ACGGGAGGCAGCAGUGGGGAAUAUUGCACAAUGGGCGAAAGCCUGAUGCAGCGACGCCGCGUGAGUGAAGAAGUAUUUCGGUAUGUAAAGCUCUAUCAGCAGGGAAGAAAAUGACGGUACCUGACUAAGAAGCCCCGGCUAACUACGUGCCAGCAGCCGCGGUAAUACGUAGGGGGCAAGCGUUAUCCGGAUUUACUGGGUGUAAAGGGAGCGUAGACGGCUUUGCAAGUCUGAAGUGAAAGCUCGGGGCUCAACUCCGGAACUGCUUUGGAAACUGUAGAGCUAGAGUGCAGGAGAGGUAAGUGGAAUUCCUAGUGUAGCGGUGAAAUGCGUAGAUAUUAGGAGGAACACCAGUGGCGAAGGCGGCUUACUGGACGGUAACUGACGUUGAGGCUCGAAAGCGUGGGGAGCAAACAGGAUUAGAUACCCUGGUA
rnacentral:rRNA from 1 species